ACUUUGAAACACCAGUUCCCAUCCGAUCAUCAAAGUUAAGCAAUGUCAAGGCUAAUCAGUACCUAAAUCGGUAACCGCUUUGGAAUACCAGUUGCUGUAAG